AAGUCGUAACAAGGUUGGACAGCAAAGUCAAUGAUCUUUCCGUGUGUGGGUUGCGUCGUCACAGACGCAGCUCGCAGACUGGUUCAUUUGCUGAAGCCUUAGCAGUCGUGGUAGUAAGAUAUCCUAUUAACUUAUUUCACCCCCUUUUUGCUAGUUGACUUUUAUAUGUUGUUCUUUGCGCUUGCGCAUGGAUCACACGUUUAAUUAUUUGAACGUUAAAAAUACAACUCUUAGCAAUGGAUAUCUAGGUUCUC
rnacentral:misc_RNA from 1 species